rnacentral:tRNA from 1 species
GGAGACAUCACGGCUCAGUAGUAGAGUGUCUGCUCGGCAUGCAGAAGGUCUCAGGUUCAAUUUCUGGCAUCUCCA